rnacentral:misc_RNA from 1 species
UCACUUGCCCACCGAAUCGAAUAUGAUGCGGUUCUGCUCUGCGCGCUCGCGCUGGCUCUGUGUCCGAGCUAGCUCUAGCAGGGUCCGCAGCAGGUGGAAGGUGAGGUCGAUGGACAACGGCGGGUCGUCUCGUCGUUGCCGCUCGCCUGCAGGCUCAGAUCCCGCGCGGCGCGGGAAGCGCUCCGCUAACAGCAAGAGGAGUGCGCGGACACCUCCGCCCUGAUUCCGCACUCCGGGGUUCCAUCGCAGAUUCGGAUCCUGGACCACAUUCGCCGCCGCAGCCGCUGGGCUCCACUGGCUGCUCUCCGGGCGCAGCUGAACCAGAAGCAGCAACGCUACCAGGAGCGUAGCGCGUCCCCUCUGCCUCAUGGUGCCGCCUGCCAUCGCAGAUUCGGAUCCUGGAUCCAGGAUCCGAAUCUGCGAUAGGUUAUCGGAGUGUCUAUCCAGUGCAAGAUGGAGGCAAGAUGGAGCUCCAGUCUCUGUCCCCGGGGACGGGUUGAAGACGCCUUGGGGAGCACGGGGUCGGUCCCGGGACCGCCGCCAGCCUUAUAUAGCAC